UGACAGCAACAAGGGCAGAGCUCUGACAACACAGGCCCCUAUCGUGAGCUCCAGGAAAAUCUUCUUUUACUGAAGAAGUAUUAGGAGUAUGACACACAGUAGAGCAAUUCUAUUUCUAUCCAAAGGAUCCUGAGUAACACAGUCUCUGUGCCCUGAAGAGCUCACCAGGAAGACAGUGGCUGGUCUUCUGCAGCUGAUCGUUACCCAGAUUCCAGAGAAGUGGCUCAGGGGCAGCUGGAAAUCCCAUAGCCUGCUCUGUAAGACACACAGGGAUUGGAUUACGGCAUCCUUGAAUACAGCGAAUCCCAGACAGCGGGAGCCCAGGCUAAUCUUUGCUCUGAAAACCAGCCCUGUGUUUGCGUGUGAACCCUGACUCCUGAGCUACACUUUCCCUAGCACCGAAACAUGUGAGAGCUGGUAAAGUGCAAAAGAGGAUUGGCACGAGCUGGCUCAGGGGACUGGUGAGGAGAUAUUGAUUGGUUCAUCCCUAAGUCAGUGCUUCAAAGCAGCCUCUGGGCGAUAUCGCAGCAGAGAUUUUUACACCAAACUCUCCUUGAUUUCAAUCGGCACUACUAUGCAGGACAAUGCUAUGGCCAUUCGCAUCUGAUGGCUGUUGGAUGGCCUAUGUGAAAUGAGUUUGGGCCCGCAUGGGCCUCCCCUUAGGACAUGACUGGAGCCUCUGCAGCGAAGCCAAUUCUAAGCCUCUCACACUAUAGGAGCCUUGUAUAGAAAGCUGCAAAGGUGCUGCUACAGACAGAAAAGAAAGAAAGAAAGAACUGAAAUCCUCCAAACCACAGCAGCUCCUCUCAGCAAAUUACAGCGUGUUUAUCUGAACAUGAGCUCCGAGGCCUGCAGAGAAUCCUCUUGAAAAGAGGACAGGAUUUGUAAU